AGUAAAAUGUAUAAUAAUGAAUUUCUAACUCAUUUAUUAAAUGGUUAAACUCCAUUUUUACUU
rnacentral:tRNA from 1 species